rnacentral:rRNA from 1 species
GACGAACGCUGGUUGCGUGCUUAACACAUGCAAGUCGAACGGAAAGGCCCUGCUUUUGUGGGGUGCUCGAGUGGCGAACGGGUGAGUAACACGUGAGUAACCUGCCCUUGACUUUGGGAUAACUUCAGGAAACUGGGGCUAAUACCGGAUAGGAGCUCCUGCUGCAUGGUGGGGGUUGGAAAGUUUCGGCGGUUGGGGAUGGACUCGCGGCUUAUCAGCUUGUUGGUGGGGUAGUGGCUUACCAAGGCUUUGACGGGUAGCCGGCCUGAGAGGGUGACCGGCCACAUUGGGACUGAGAUACGGCCCAGACUCCUACGGGAGGCAGCAGUGGGGAAUAUUGCACAAUGGGCGGAAGCCUGAUGCAGCAACGCCGCGUGCGGGAUGACGGCCUUCGGGUUGUAAACCGCUUUCGCCUGUGACGAAGCGUGAGUGACGGUAAUGGGUAAAGAAGCACCGGCUAACUACGUGCCAGCAGCCGCGGUGAUACGUAGGGUGCGAGCGUUGUCCGGAUUUAUUGGGCGUAAAGGGCUCGUAGGUGGUUGAUCGCGUCGGAAGUGUAAUCUUGGGGCUUAACCCUGAGCGUGCUUUCGAUACGGGUUGACUUGAGGAAGGUAGGGGAGAAUGGAAUUCCUGGUGGAGCGGUGGAAUGCGCAGAUAUCAGGAGGAACACCAGUGGCGAAGGCGGUUCUCUGGGCCUUUCCUGACGCUGAGGAGCGAAAGCGUGGGGAGCGAACAGGCUUAGAUACCCUGGUAGUCCACGCUGUAAACGGUGGGUACUAGGUGUGGGGUCCAUUCCACGGGUUCCGUGCCGUAGCUAACGCUUUAAGUACCCCGCCUGGGGAGUACGGCCGCAAGGCUAAAGCUCAAAGGAAUUGACGGGGCCCCGCACAAGCGGCGGAGCAUGCGGAUUAAUUCGAUGCAACGCGUAGAACCUUACCUGGGUUUGACAUGGAUCGGGAGUGCUCAGAGAUGGGUGUGCCUCUUUUGGGGUCGGUUCACAGGUGGUGCAUGCCUGUCGUCAGCUCGUGUCGUGAGAUGUUGGGUUAAGUCCCGCAACGAGCGCAACCCUUGUUCACUGUUGCCAGCACGUUAUGGUGGGGACUCAGUGGAGACCGCCGGGGUCAACUCGGAGGAAGGUGGGGAUGACGUCAAGUCAUCAUGCCCCUUAUGUCCAGGGCUUCACGCAUGCUACAAUGGCUGGUACAGAGAGUGGCGAGCCUGUGAGGGUGAGCGAAUCUCGGAAAGCCGGUCUCAGUUCGGAUUGGGGUCUGCAACUCGACCUCAUGAAGUCGGAGUCGCUAGUAAUCGCAGAUCAGCAACGCUGCGGUGAAUACGUUCCCGGGGCU